rnacentral:tRNA from 1 species
GUCCCGGUAGCUCAGUUGGAUAGAGCAGCCGCCUUCUAAGCGGCAGGUCGUGCGUUCGAGUCGCACCCGGGGCG